CAAGCCUUGAUAUUACAGUACAAGUGCUUACAUUUACUUUUUAAGAUUAAAAAUUGGCAAAUAAUUGCCUUGAGAUGCAGAGCCCCAAAUGAAACAAGCUCUGUAGGACUGAUUUUACUAAAUGCGAGGUAAGCAAUGAUGUAAUUUUAAGGACGUUGAUGAGUGUAAUAAAGCAAUCUAAUCCUGAAGGGGUUGGGGGCUGCUUGUGUUUUUUUUUUUAAUUAUGUUUGUUUGUUUGUUUGUUUGUUUGUUUGUUUGUUUGUUUUCCAGAAAUCCCUAAGACAGAAGCUUUGCUGCUGUUCAGAAGCAUUUUCCCUGAGAACACAUCAGAUUGCCUAGCAUGGACAUGAAUAAUUGAAGAACACCAUCACGGCAGCAGUCCUCCCAAGGGGCUUUUCCAACACCUUGUUAUUAGCUGAUAUGCUGCCUAGACAACCUCAUGGGAGCCCAGACUGCGAUCCCCUACUAUGUCAAAGGGAAGGAAGCAAGCAUGACAGGACAUGCUUGUGUUGGCCUGCAGAGGACAGAGAAGCAACUCAUAUCACUCAUCAGAAAUUCCUGCCAAGCUCUAUACAUCUGACAGCUGUGAAGAGAAUCAUCAGAGAAGGAGGUUGGAUUGCACGGGCAGACACACUUUCUGGCAUCACAAAGAGGGCACUCGGCCAUCUGGACCUGCUCUACAUCAAGCACAACUCUGAGGCCACUCAGACCAUCAUGGAGAGACCAGGACUGUAUUAGAAGACAGGACUACUAAUAUAGAGGUGCUUUUGUCAUGGGAUAUCAAACACUGUGUACUAUCAUAGUUGUAUUGCCAGCAGCCUGUCAGAGACAAAAAGAG
rnacentral:lncRNA from 1 species